GGAGGUGCAGCUUUCAGCUAGUGCUAAAUACAAGGGGAAGUAAAAGAAAAUAAGAAGAAGAAGAAGAAGAAGAAGAAGAAGAAGAAGAGGAGGAGGAGGAUGAGAGAAAAGACUUCACCCCCCCAUCUCCCUCUUCCUCUCCCUCAUUCCCUCCUCUGCCAACGACUUUUACCUCAGAAAUAGCGGAGGGAGCAACUUCAAAAGGCAGACAGGAGGCAGCUGGAGUGUGAAAUCUGAGAAGAAAAGCAAGAUGAGAGGCUAACCGGCGCUGUGCUUGCUAUGCUGUCCAGGAGCCGCCCGGACAACUGACUGGAACCUACCGACGACACCUGGCAUUAAUCUCCGCAAUGAUGGAAGCCUGAACGCCGCCGAAGGCCUGUGAGCGGAUACGCACGGGCUCAUUAAAACGGGUCGGGACAUGUCGACGAAUGAUCCAUGAACAUGAGACGAUCCAACAACCACACUGAAACUUACAUACACGCACUUUUGUGAUUAUUGACCGACUGAUGAUCUGACAUCUACCUAAAGAAAUAAAUUAGUUUCUUAAAGUGUCUCCAGUGCUGUUAUAGAAACAUGUUUUCCACAAUAAUUUAAAUGUCUUUCUAUUGUAAUACAAACAUAA